CUUUACUGAAAGAAGCUUGAUUUCUCAGGGCAGCAAUGUGCUUAGUUCAAAGAUCACCUUUCCCUUGAGAGAGGGUGUGGCUGUGUGACCAGGCUCCAACUGACUAGAUUUAUUUUGUGAGACUUCCAGGAAGGCUUCUUAAAAGGGAGGGAGGAGGUUUUUGCCCUGAUCCUUUCCUUUUUCCUCCCAGCUUGAAGGCCGAUAGGAAGCAAAUGCUCUCAUCAGCCAUCCUGGACUCUGAGGUGGAUUUGAAGAUAGGCUGUGCAUUGGUCCUAUGAAUGAGGCAGACAGGAUUAUUCCUACUUGGAGAUCACAAAGGAAAGGAUUAGAGCAGGGAAGGCACUUGACCCACACAUGUCCACUCCCUAAUACCAUCACCUUGGAGGGAUAUGACCAUUCAGACCAUAGCAGACCCAUCCAGUGUCUCUGAAUUCAGUGCUGUUAAUAGAAGAAAACCUAGAGGUUGUCGUCAACUGUCUUGUUCUACAGAUGGCAAUGAACACGUCUUUCCACCACUAUGGGGAGGACACUUGACUUCAAUAAGAAGUUACCCACAAAGAAAGUCAGUCCCUCUGUGUGAGUGCAGAGAACAAGCAAGCAGAAGACAACAUUCUGUAGCACAGAUAGUAGGACAUGCUGCUGGUCCCCUGGUUCUGAGAAGAGAAGAAGCUCCACAACAAGCCCUGCAUCCAAGAGCCCACAUCAGAGCAACAGGAGAAAUGGCAACUGACUUAAUCUUCCUGAACACCAGUUCCUUAUUUAACAUUGAAGAAGUUGGACUGAAAGAUUGAUUUUUCAAACUGUUUUUUCUUUAGAUGGUGC
rnacentral:lncRNA from 13 species